UUAAUCGGAAUUACUGGGCUUAAAGUGUGCGCAGGCGGCAGAGCAAGUCGAGUGUGAAAGCCCCGGGCUUAACUUGGGAAUUGCGCUCGAAACUACUUUGCUGGAGUGUGGCAGAGGAAGGUGGAAUUCCACGUGUAGCGGUGAAAUGCGUAGAGAUGUGGAGGAACACCAAUGGCGAAGGCAGCCUUCUGGGCCAACACUGACGCUCAUGCACGAAAGCGUGGGGAGCAAACAGG
rnacentral:rRNA from 1 species